rnacentral:rRNA from 1 species
CGAGGAUCUUCGGAUCUGAAGUGAGUGAUACCCUGCUUCCAGGAAAAGCCUCUAAGCUUCAGUUACAGAUUGACCGUACCGCAAACCGACACAGGUGGGCAGGAUGAAAAUUCUAAGGCGCUUGAGAGAACUCAGGAGAAGGAACUCGGCAAAUUGAUACCGUAACUUCGGGAGAAGGUAUGCCUCGGUAGCGUGAAGCCCCUGCGGGUGGAGCGUGAUGAGGUCGCAGAGAAUCGGUGGCUGCAACUGUUUAAUAAAAACACAGCACUCUGCAAAGGCGAAAGCCGACGUAUAGGGUGUGACGCCUGCCCGGUGCCGGAAGGUUAAGUGAUGGGGUGCAAGCUCUUGAUCGAAGCCCCGGUAAACGGCGGCCGUAACAAUAACGGUCCUAAGGUAGCGAAAUUCCUUGUCGGGUAAGUUCCGACCUGCACGAAUGGCGUAAUGAUGGCCACACUGUCUCCUCCUGAGACUCAGCGAAGUUGAAAUGUUGUGAAGAUG